rnacentral:rRNA from 1 species
UCUUCGGAUCUUUGAGAGCGGCGCACGGGUGCGGAACACGUGUGCAACCUGCCUUUAUCAGGGGGAUAGCCUUUCGAAAGGAAGAUUAAUACCCCAUAAUAUAAUGACUGGCAUCAGUUCUUAUUGAAAACUCCGGUGGAUAGAGAUGGGCACGCGCAGGAUUAGAUAGUUGGUAGGGUAACGGCCUACCAAGUCAACGAUCCUUAGGGGGCCUGAGAGGGUGAUCCCCCACACUGGUACUGAGACACGGACCAGACUCCUACGGGAGGCAGCAGUGAGGAAUAUUGGACAAUGGGUGAGAGCCUGAUCCAGCCAUCCCGCGUGAAGGACGACGGCCCUAUGGGUUGUAAACUUCUUUUGUAUAGGGAUAAACCUACUCUCGUGAGAGUAGCUGAAGGUACUAUACGAAUAAGCACCGGCUAACUCCGUGCCAGCAGCCGCGGUAAUACGGAGGGUGCAAGCGUUAUCCGGAUUUAUUGGGUUUAAAGGGUCCGUAGGCUGAUUUGUAAGUCAGUGGUGAAAUCUCACAGCUCAACUGUGAAACUGCCAUUGAUACUGCAAGUCUUGAGUGUUGUUGAAGUAGCUGGAAUAAGUAGUGUAGCGGUGAAAUGCAUAGAUAUUACUUAGAACACCAAUUGCGAAGGCAGGUUACUAAGCAACAACUGACGCUGAUGGACGAAAGCGUGGGGAGCGAACAGGAUUAGAUACCCUGGUAGUCCACGCCGUAAACGAUGCUAACUCGUUUUUGGGUUUUCGGAUUCAGAGACUAAG